GCCUUGAUAUACUCUUUCACCUAUCACUGUAGUGUAGAUGUCAAAAUAUGAUCUGACAUGUCACACACGAAGUCCUGGAAGUCGUUUAUCAGAAGGCUCAAGUAGAGGACCUAAAUUCUUAUAAUACACGGGCGUUCCAGUCAGUUGGAUCCUGCACCUGACAAGAUGAAGAAUAAAACAAACUGAUCGGCUAUCAAGCCAUAGGU
rnacentral:lncRNA from 1 species